UUCUUAAAAUACCGCCAUACUUAAUGAUUGGUAAUUCCUUACUAGUUAAUGAGUUUCAGACUUAAGUAUGAUGUUGUGUUUGCAUAUAGUUCGGGAAACCGAACUUGAGUAACAAUUUGUUACUCAUUUACUUCCUGUAUAUUAUUAAACCGAUUUGGUUAAAUCGCCGCUCCAUUGAGCGGCGUUUUUUUCA
rfam:Haemophilus influenzae PittAA ctg32, whole genome shotgun sequence.